GACGAACGCUGGCGGCGUGCUUAACACAUGCGAGUCGAACGGUAAGGCCCUUCGGGGUACACGAGUGGCGAACGGGUGAGUAACACGUGGGUGAUCUGCCCUGCACUUCGGGAUAAGACUGGGAAACUGGGUCUAAUACCGGAUAGGACCACUGCCUGCAUGGGUGGUGGUGGAAAGCUUUUGCGGUGUGGGAUGGGCCCGCGGCCUAUCAGCUUGGUGGUGGGGUGAUGGCCUACCAAGGCGACGACGGGUAGCCGGCCUGAGAGGGUGACCGGCCACACUGGGACUGAGAUACGGCCCAGACUCCUACGGGAGGCAGCAGUGGGGAAUAUUGCACAAUGGGCGCAAGCCUGAUGCAGCGACGCCGCGUGAGGGAUGACGGCCUUCGGGUUGUAAACCUCUUUCAGCACCGACGAAGCGCAAGUGACGGUAGGUGCAGAAGAAGGACCGGCCAACUACGUGCCAGCCGCCGCCGUAA
rnacentral:rRNA from 1 species